rnacentral:rRNA from 1 species
UACCAGCACCCCGAGUGGUCGGGACGAUUAUUGGGCCUAAAGCAUCCGUAGCCGGUUCUACAAGUCUUCCGUUAAAUCCACCUGCUUAACAGAUGGGCUGCGGAGGAUACUAUGGAGCUAGGAGGCGGGAGAGGCAAGCGGUACUUAGUGGGUAGGGGUAAAAUCCGUUGAUCCAUUGAAGACCACCAGUGGCGAAGGCGGCUUGCCAGAACGCACUCGACGGUGAGGGAUGGAAGCUGGGGGAGCAAACCGG